GUCGGGAUAGCUCAGCUGGUAGAGCAGAGGACUGAAU
rnacentral:tRNA from 2 species